AACGAGAAGUACAGUGAGUUCCCCCAAGGGGUCGGCCGCGCCCCUUCCUGUCCCCGCCCUGCCGGCUGUCCCAGGCCAGUGGAGUGGCAGCCCCAGAACCAGGACCGCCAGGGCUGUGAGGCGGCCUGGGCGCUGGGAGUUGGCGGCCUGCCUGGGCUCACCAGCACAUCUCAUUCCCUGCACCCCCUUCCUCUCAGGGAGCCCCCAGGAUGGUGAGGUGGUUUCACCGAGACCUCAGUGGGCUGGAUGCAGAGACGCUGCUCAAGGGCCGGGGGGUCCAUGGGAGCUUCUUGGCUCGGCCCAGUCGCAAGAACCAGGGCGACUUCUCCCUCUCCGUCAGGGUCGGGGAUCAGGUGACCCACAUUCGGAUCCAGAACUCGGGAGAUUUCUAUGACCUGUAUGGAGGGGAGAAGUUUGCGACACUGACGGAGCUGGUGGAGUACUACACACAGCAGCAGGGUGUCCUGCAGGACCGGGAUGGCACCAUCAUCCACCUCAAGUACCCGCUGAACUGCUCCGACCCCACCAGCGAGAGGUGGUACCACGGUCACAUGUCUGGGGGGCAGGCAGAGACACUGCUGCAGGCCAAGGGUGAGCCCUGGACGUUUCUCGUGCGUGAGAGUCUCAGCCAGCCUGGAGAUUUUGUGCUGUCCGUGCUCAGCGACCAGCCCAAGGCUCGCCCAGGCUCCCCACUCAGAGUCACUCAUAUCAAGGUCAUGUGUGAGGGUGGACGCUACACGGUGGGUGGCUCAGAGACCUUUGACAGCCUCACAGACCUGGUGGAGCAUUUCAAGAAGACGGGGAUUGAGGAGGCCUCGGGUGCCUUCGUCUACCUGCGGCAGCCGUACUAUGCCACUCGGGUGAACGCAGCUGACAUUGAGAAUCGGGUGUUGGAACUCAACAAGAAGCAGGAGUCGGAGGAGACAGCCAAAGCCGGCUUUUGGGAGGAGUUUGAGAGUCUGCAGAAGCAGGAGGUAAAGAACUUGCACCAGCGGCUGGAAGGCCAGAGGCCAGAGAACAAGAGCAAGAACCGUUACAAGAACAUUCUUCCGUUCGACCACACCCGAGUGAUCCUGCAGGGACGUGACAGCAACAUCCCUGGGUCCGACUAUAUCAAUGCCAACUACGUCAAGAACCAGCUGCUAAGCCCCGAUGAGAACGCUAAGACCUACAUCGCCAGCCAGGGCUGCCUGGAGGCCACAGUCAACGACUUCUGGCAGAUGGCAUGGCAGGAGAACACCCGCGUCAUUGUCAUGACCACCCGAGAGGUGGAGAAAGGCCGGAACAAAUGUGUGCCAUAUUGGCCAGAGGUGGGCACUCAGCGCGCUUAUGGACCGUACACAGUAACCAAUUGCGGGGAGCACGACACAGCUGAGUACAAACUCCGUACCUUGCAGGUCUCCCCGCUGGACAAUGGGGACCUGGUUCGGGAGAUCUGGCACUAUCAGUACCUGAGCUGGCCUGACCAUGGCGUCCCCAGCGAGCCUGGAGGUGUCCUCAGCUUCCUGGAUCAGAUCAACCAGCGGCAGGAGAGUCUGCCUCACGCGGGACCCAUCAUUGUGCACUGCAGAGACUUCGAGACUUCCCUGGAUGUACCGUCUCAUCCAGCCCUGCCACAUACAGAUGAGAAAACAGGCCCAGCAGCUUGCCAGCUGGUCUGCAAGAGAGCCUGCACGGACACUCACAACAGACCUCGGUCCUGGUCAUGUUGUUUCCUCAUACGGGCUUACUCAGAGUAUAUAUUUUCUCGGCCCCAAGCGUCUCCCAUCUGGGGGCAGUGUGGCUCCCUACGUUUUCUCAUUUUCCCCUCUGUAGCCCCCGGGGCGCUUAGCCUUCUCUGCUUCUCCCUUCCCAGCUAGUGACCCCAGCUUGGCCUCCAGGGUUGCGUGGCGACGGGUGGUAUCUCUUCCAGAGGGGCCCACGCAUCACUAGCUCCACUGCAGAACCUCAUGACUAGGAGACCCUGUUCCUGCUAAACGGGGAGGUGGGGGGUCAGCAAGGAGGAGGUGGGGGGGGGCCCAUCAGGCCUGAAGGGCAGAGUCCUGUAGAUGGGCCUACCCAGCCCGCCUGGCCUGGGUGCAUGGGAGGCAGUGGGUGCAGGUUCCUGGACAGAGACCGUAGUUUUAAAUUUCAGUUCUGCUACUCACCGGCUGUGUGAUCGUGGACAAAUUGCUUGGUUACUCUGACCCGCAGAUUCGUCUUCUGUAAAUUCAGGAUCUCCUAUGGUUGCUCUGAGGGUUAAGUGAGACCCUGUCACUGUGUCGGGAAUACAAUGAAUCCCUGAAGAAAUGGGAGCUGUGAAUGGUUUAAUAACUCACAGCAGGAAGAGAAUGGGGAAACGGGAGCCUGCUUUUUCUGCUUCCCUACCCACUCCCUCCAAGUGACCCCAGGCUGCGAGGGCCUCACACUUCUUCCUUCUUCCCACCAGCAACUGCUUGUCCUGGGGCAGGGCUGGGUGGGAUGAAACUGGGGGUACCCCCCACGUGCCAUCUAAGGGACUCUGCUCUGCCUCCAGGGGCAGGCCCAUCGCCCACAACGACCCUCCUGCUACCCCCCUUCCACUUCUUGAAAUCCCCAUGGCCUUUAUUUAGAUGCUACAGGAAGGAAGUGGGUAAGGGGGGGGGUUAUUUUUGACAAUCUGGGUUUGAAAUUAGACAGUGCAACUCAGGUCACCAGCCUGAUGGGCCCAGCAAAGGGGGUGGGACUGCAGUCUCCGAGGGGUCCUGAGGUUCCCCGGGGCUGUUUGCCCAAGGGUGGUGGCACAGGGCGGGGAAGGGGACAGCCCUUACUGCGUGGCUCCCCCACCUCUCCACAGCUCCUGACCCCAGUGCCCUUUGUGCCCUGCUGUCUCUAGGACUGCCCUUUCCCUGCCGUCAGGGUCUGAAAAAAAAAGAGAAAAAGGGAAACGAAGCCCUGCUUUAAAAAGCUCUAAAUAUAACUUUAGAAGGGCAGGCCGGGGUGCAGGGAAGGCCUCAUUCAGGCCAAGGGUGUGGGAGAGGGCCAGGGGAGGCCCGGAGUGCCUGUGGGGCAGGCAGGACCUUGAUGGGGCUGGGGCUCCUAGAUCCUCCAGAGUAGGGAGCAGCCCGCGGCAGGAAUGAGGCGUCAAAGCAGGAAGUGGUGGCGCGGGGAGAUGGGGUGCAGCCGGCUGGCCUGGGAGCACUUGAGAGCCGGCCCGCCUACAAAUCCCUGGGCUGAAGUGAUGUGCGUGGGUGCGGAACCAGGGAAGCUUCCGCCUCCGGCCUGCCGGCCCUGUGACCCCGGGCGUGUUACCUCAUCUGUCUGGAGCCUCAGUUUCUUCAUGCUACCAUGCUGGAGCCGAAUGCCGGGGCUCCCCCUUCCCGGUGAGGCCUCUGACGGCGCCCCCUUCCCUCCCCAGCGCAGGCAUUGGCCGCACGGGCACCAUCAUCGUCAUCGACAUGCUCAUGGAAAGCAUCUCCACCAAGGGGUUGGACUGUGACAUCGACAUCCAGAAGACCAUCCAGAUGGUGCGGGCGCAGCGCUCCGGCAUGGUGCAGACCGAGGCGCAGUACAAGUUCAUCUAUGUGGCCAUCGCCCAGUUCAUUGAAACCACCAAGAAGAAGCUGGAGGUCAUUCAGUCCCAGAAGGGCCGGGAGUCAGAGUACGGGAACAUCACCUACCCCUUAGCCAUGAGGAACGCCCAUGCCAAGGCAUCCCGCACCUCUUCCAAACACAAGGAGGAUGUAUAUGAGAACUUGCACAGUAAGAACAAGAAGGAGGACAAGGUGAAGAAGCAGCGGUCGGCGGACAAGGAGAAGAGCAAGGGUUCCCUCAAGAGGAAAUGAGGCGGGCCUCAGCCCUGAUCCCUGCAGAGGCCUCCGGUGGGCCAACCCAUGGCCGGAACUGAGGAGCCCGCCCCCGUUCUAUUGUAAUUUAAGUGGCUGUGUCCCUACUUCCCUCUUCCUGACCCUGUAUAUAGCCCUGCGAGACUCCAGGCAGCAUCAGGCCCUAUACUCUUGUAAAUAAAGCCCCUAGGAUCACUGUG